rnacentral:tRNA from 1 species
AGGGUUGUAGGUUAACGGUAGAGUGUCUGCUCAUUUUGCAGAAGGUCCCAGGUUUGAUACCCGGCAUCUCCA